UCUUAUAUGAGACAUAAGUAAGCAGGUAACGAUGACAGAGUGUGGUAGGUGCCACAAGGGAGGAAGACACGUUAUAGAAGCAGAUAAGAGAGUAAGAAUAGAAACUCAUCAGGAUUUGAGGGGUUGGGGGGCUGGAAUUUUUCUUGACAAAAGGGUAUCUAGAAUGAGACCAGAAGGGUGUGAUGAUUAAUUGUCUGUCAACAUGACUGGGCUACAGAGAGCUCAUAUGUUUGGUUAAACGUUAUUUUGGGUGUGUCUGGGAAGGUACUUCAGGAUGAGCUUAACAUUUGAAUUCGUAGACUGAAUGAAGCCAUGUGCUCUUCCCAGUGUGAGUGGGCCUCACCUAAUCCUUUGAAGCCCUGAAUAGAACAAACAAGCAGAGUAAAGGAGAGUUCAUUCACUCUUUCUGCCUGUUUUUCAGCUGGACAUUGGUUUUCUCUUGCUUUUGGACUUGGACUCAGACUGAAAUUUAUACCAUAUGUAUCCUAUUGAUUCUGUUUCUCUGUAGAGAACCCUAACCAAUACAAAGGGUGAAUAAUAAAGAUGGACUAAGGAAAGAAGUGUCUCAGGCACAGAAAAUGGCAGGGCAAAAUCUCAGAAGCAGGACAGUGAGUAAUCCAUUCCAGAAACAGGAAGUGGUUCGGGGGAACUGCAGCAGGAAAUGCUGGGAAGAAGAACUGAGAGAUGAGGCUGGAGUAAACAGUUGGAGUAACAAGAUCUUAAAAGAAGGAAGAUGUGAACCAAGUUAAGGAGCUUAAACUUUAAUUUUAGGGUGGCGAGGAGCCAUUCACAUGUUUUUGGCACAGGGGUGACCUACAAGUAACUCUGUGUCUGCAUUUGCAUCUAUGCAAGAAACAGGCUAACAAAAUAGGACGCUUCUGCCAUACGGUGGGUAAAUGAUGCUGAUGGCCUAAAAGGUGGGAGGGCUACAGAGCUGAAGAGAACAAACUGGAUUCAGUUCAGGAGGUAGGUUUGAGAAGAUGCAGUGAUUGGCUGGAUGCAGGGUCUGUUUAUGGAGAAGGAAGAAUUUGGCUGAUACCCAGUUUUUUCAGAAAAUAAGCAACAGUAUGGGUGGCGAUGCCUUUCAUUAAGAUUUGUGUGGAGGAAAAUUAAUGAGUUGAACUCUUCAUAAUUGUUGUUUAACUGUCUAUAGCAAGGAACAGUAGGCAGUUUAGAAUGCAGACAUGGAAUUCAGUUAAAAGACCUAAGUUGGUAGUAUAGAUCCAGAAGUCUUUGGAAAAAUUUGCACUUUGUAAUUAUAGCCCUUGGAGAGAAUGAGAUCCCUCCAGGUACUUAGUCUCUUGAGAAUUACAUCAAACAAGCCAAUUCCUAGACAUGAAUUUUCUCAGCAUAUAUUUAGAGAAUCCACACCCAGCAUGGAGCCCAACAUGGGGCAUGAACUCAUGACCUGGAGAUCAAGA